GACGAACGCUGGCGGCGUGCCUAACACAUGCAAGUCGAACGAGGUCCAAGGGAGCUUGCUCCCUGAAGACCUAGUGGCGAACGGGUGAGUAACACGUGAGAAACCUGCCCUCGAGUGGGGAAUAACCCGGGGAAACCCGGGCUAAUACCGCAUACGCUCCUCUGGUCGCAUGGCCGGAGGAGGAAAGUUUUUCGCUCAAGGAGGGUCUCGCGGCCUAUCAGCUUGUUGGCGGGGUAACGGCCCACCAAGGCUACGACGGGUAGCUGGUUUGAGAGAACGAUCAGCCACACUGGGACUGAGACACGGCCCAGACUCCUACGGGAGGCAGCAGUGGGGAAUCUUGCGCAAUGGGCGAAAGCCUGACGCAGCAACGCCGCGUGCGGGAUGACGGCCUUCGUGGUUGUAACCGCUUUCAGCAGGGACGAAGCGCAAGUGACGGUACCUACAGAAGAAGGACCGGCCAACUACGUGCCAGCCGCCGCCGUAA
rnacentral:rRNA from 1 species